GAAGAAGAAGAUGCAUCGUUAUGAUUUACGACGAGAAGAUUGUUUGUGUUUCCAGAAGCGUUGGGUAUCUUUAGAGAGAUGAGAAUUGAAGGAGUUAAAUUGGAAUUGCAUGACUGUAUCUUACUCAUUGCUGGUGCUCCACUUGGUGAAGAAUUGAAGGGGAUUUUGAUUCAUGUGUGAAGGUGGGAACCCGUUCUGCGUUACUCAACUUUGGAUCACCAGUGGAUGCAUCUCAGCUAUAUAAAUUACUCCAUGCCCUUCAUCCACAUCCUCAUUAG